GGAGAGGUAGCAAAGUGGUCAAAUGCCCCUGACUGUAAAUCAGGUCCCUAACGGGUUCGAAGGUUCAAAUCCUUCCCUCUCCA
rfam:Candidate division WOR-1 bacterium RIFOXYB2_FTLL_37_13 rifoxyb2_full_scaffold_653, whole genome shotgun sequence.